rnacentral:misc_RNA from 1 species
UUUCCGUAGGUGAACCUGCGGAAGGAUCAUUAUCGUGCAAGAUGUGAGGGGCAUCCGCGGGCUGUCCCUUACCCAAAAUUCGUGUGCGCCCGAGUGUGGCCUCUUGCAUCAUAAUCCAUCUCCCCCUUUGUGCAUCACCGCGUGGGCACACUUCGGGAUCAUCUCGGAGGGGGACUGGCGUUUUCACACAUACCCUCCUUUUAAAAGUGUACAAUGACCACAUUUAUGCAAUCAAUACAACUUUCAACAACGGAUCUCUUGGCUCUC